rnacentral:antisense_RNA from 1 species
GGACAUUCAUAGUUACUUGGGACAACAGUUUUAGCAGGGCUCUCUCCUUUCCUGAUCUCUGUGUUAAGCUGCCUGCCUCAUUUGAUAUCACAUCCAAAUUAUCAGCUGAUUGCUCUGUUGUUUUGGACAAUGCCCUGGGGCAUACCAAAAUGUGUCUGGAAUUGGUGGGUUCUUGGUCUUACUGACUUUAAGAAUAAAGUUGCAGACUUUUGUGAUGCCAAUAUUUUACCUCUUGGGUACUUUCUGUGUAGAAGAUUCAUAACAAGAACAAUGCUUAUUCUGCAAUUCUUUAUAUAAAGCUAAAAGAAAAUGCAUUCUGCCAACAACUAAUGAGCUUGGAAGAGAACUCCAAACCCCAGAAGAGGCCUGUCACAUUAGCUAACACCUUACUUUCCACCCACUGAGACCUUGAGCAGAGACUUCAGUUACACCCCACCCAGACUUCUGACCUGCAAAACU